CCUUUCCUACGGGGGGCAGCAGUGGGGAAUAUUGGGCAAUGGGCGCAAGCCUGACCCAGCAACGCCGCGUGAAGGAAGAAGGCUUUCGGGUUGUAAACUUCUUUUCUGAGGGACGAAGAAAGUGACGGUACCUCAGGAAUAAGCCACGGCUAACUACGUGCCAGCAGCCGCGGUAAUACGUAGGUGGCAAGCGUUAUCCGGAUUUAUUGGGUGUAAAGGGCGUGUAGGCGGGAAAGCAAGUCAGAUGUGAAAACUCAGGGCUCAACCCUGGGCCUGCAUUUGAAACUG
rnacentral:rRNA from 1 species